AGUGAACGCUGGCGGGAGGCAUAACACAUGCAAGUCGAACGGCAGCACAGUAAGAGCUUGCUCUUACGGGUGGCGAGUGGCGGACGGGUGAGGAAUACAUCGGAAUCUACUUUUUCGUGGGGGAUAACGUAGGGAAACUUACGCUAAUACCGCAUACGACCUACGGGUGAAAGCAGGGGAUCUUCGGACCUUGCGCGAUUGAAUGAGCCGAUGUCGGAUUAGCUAGUUGGCGGGGUAAAGGCCCACCAAGGCGACGAUCCGUAGCUGGUCUGAGAGGAUGAUCAGCCACACUGGAACUGAGACACGGUCCAGACUCCUACGGGAGGCAGCAGUGGGGAAUAUUGGACAAUGGGCGCAAGCCUGAUCCAGCCAUACCGCGUGGGUGAAGAAGGCCUUCGGGUUGUAAAGCCCUUUUGUUGGGAAAGAAAAGCAGCAGGUUAAUACCCCGCUGUUCUGACGGUACCCAAAGAAUAAGCACCGGCUAACUUCGUG
rnacentral:rRNA from 1 species